GGUGCGCGCUGGGUGCUUGGGGUCUGGCUCGCUCUCCCAUCCCCGGGCAGACAGCUGCACGGGUGGCCUCGUGGUCCAUGGCCUCCGGCUGGGCCGGGGAAAGCCGUUUCGCGGAGCACGCCCGGCGGGUAAGAGAACAAAAUUAAAGAAGAUUUCCCAGAGAUUUGUCAUCUGGCGGAGCAGGACCAGGGACAGGCUGAUGUGGUGGAGGUGGUGGACACGCUCUCAGCCCCACUCCAUCCCGGAGGCUCAGAGCCCACAGCAAGGACAACUCCUGGGUGAGCGGGUGCCAGGCAAGCAGCCCACACGCCGGGAGUCCCCAGGCUCCGAGAUGUGCCCCUUCCCUCAGCACACAGAUGAGGAAUCUGAAGCUCCAGGAGGCCAGGUCAUUUCCUCCCUGAGCCCCAGCAGCCAGCGGGUCUGCAACGUGGCCUCGAACCCAGACACCCCCGUGGGGGCUCACAGCUGUCCGAGGGCUGGCCACUCUCCCAGGAGCUGUGGCCGCGUCGUCCGGGGACCCAGCCCCAGGACAAGGUGGAGACAGCCCAGGGGGUCAGCGCUCACAAACCCCCCCACCCCGAGAAGAUCCAGUGCCCGAGGCUGGAAUAACCUCAGCCCCACCCACUACCCUCACCCCACUCACCAGCCUCACCCCCACUCACCACCCUCAC
ensembl:lncRNA novel transcript